rnacentral:misc_RNA from 1 species
AUUUAUUCUUGUAUAAAUAUGAUAAAAAUAAAGAUAUAUAAAAUAUAAAUAUAAUAAUUUAUUAUAAUAAUAAAAAUUUUCUUUUAAAAAAAAUUCAACCGUUGGAUCAAUCUGGGAUUGAAUCAGGACCUAGACCCGGGGACUUACGGUCUAGUCCCAGACCCCUUGAACCAUUAAACCGGAACCGCCGGUUUCAGCCCGGAUGGAACUCUCGGCCAGGCCUACUAUAAAGCAAGAACUCCAUCAUUCUGCAACUAAAAGGUCACAUGUAAACAAAUUAAUCAACAUCUCAUAUUUCAGUGGCUACGUACAAGGUAAAUUCUGGGUUCUGUAAAUUGAUUCUCUCAUAACUUUAGAUACCAUGAUUGAUUAUCUUACAGAAAUUUUGAUGGACGUAAAGCUUACUUGAGCUAAGUUUAAAUAGCAAGGCAAGUAAACUUUAAUUAAUCUGCUCACCCCUUGUUAGGAUUUUCUUCUCUUCUUCAACUUCUUCAAGCAGUGCUGCUAACUCAGCUUCUGUCAAACCCUCUAACCGCUUCUGCAUGACUUUGUUUUCAUAGUCACGCAGUUGUUGAGCAUACGUCAUUUCCUUGUUUGACACCCUAAAGAUAUACGUUGAAAUCCAUCCGACAGUUAGGCCUAAAACCAGUACCAAUUGAACAACAUUCCCUGCUUGUAAAGAAUCCACUCCAGCAAACUCCAGUCCACUUUUCAAACCAAUGCCUAGAACAGUAACUCCCAUUCCGAUCAAUAAAACAUCCUUCCUAGUGUAUCCAAAAGGUGUCUGCUUGCCUUGAUCAGAGGAAACAUCUUCAUUGUUAUUGGAGUCUGAGGAGCUGCUACUUCUAGGGAUAAUAAAGUUAAUUUUCUUUGACAUCAUGCCGCUGGAUCCUCUUCUUGGAUUUUCCAAGAAUGCGACCCUUCUACAAAAGCUUUGUGAAAUUAAUCUCCCUUGGAAAUCUCCAGCUCCCAAAUGCAAUAAUGGAAUACUUGAAAUACCCACAUAGGAAAUAGGUCUAUUUCUGCAAAAAAUGUUGCAAUUUGGAUUUCCAUGAAGAAGAGAAGUCAUCGCUGGAUGAGGAUUGAAGAGGAAGAAAGCGGGUGGCUGGAAGUGACAGUGAGCGAGUUUCUCUAGCUUUAUCUUGUAAUUAAGUGAAUUAAAGAAAUCUUCUACCCCUGCUUAAAGGCAAACACUUGCAGUGCAAAACGCCACGUCGUUGAGUAUGUUACCAGUAACUGGUUCUCUCCUUUUAGAAAAAACAAAAACAAUCUUGUUUUACGGGCUAUUAAAUUAAUGACUGGCUCUAGUUUAAGCAACCAGAGAAUCUACUGAAAUGGAAGUCAAGUAAAAUUUAAUAAACCUAAUUAGUUUUAUAACAAUAGCU